UCCCUCCAUUUUCUUCCGUAAAUCAAUUUCCUCUCAACUCAUUCUCUUCACACACCUCUUCAACUCAAAAUCCUAGCUCAUGAUCCAGAAUAACAAAGCAAGUACAUGUCUCAAAGCUCGGACGUGAACCACCAUUCUAACCCAACCCGUUACCUAUUAGUUUCGGUCAAAACAAGGUCUUCGAUUGCAAAAAUAGAUUUAGGGUUCCGACUAGAGAGAUUUAGUAAGGAGCGAUACUGGAGUAAAUGCGCAUAAGUCGAAGACGUGAGAGGAAUCUGGAAAAGCUUAGGCUUCUUCCAAAGGAAAUGCAUAGAACCCCAAUUGGCCAAUUCUUCUUUCUCUAUCUAAUUCGUUCUGAUUUACCUUCAAAAUCUGAUUGGUUGAUAUGUCUGCUGGUGGUCAACUUGAAGCCAACAAGAAAGCUAUGAAGAUCCAGUGAUAUGGCUGAAGCAAUUGAUUUGACUGGAUAUGGAGGUGUUU
rnacentral:lncRNA from 1 species